AUGAGGUAACUGCUAAAGCAUUCCGAACCAACUUUUCUCAUCUGCCUUUUUACUUAAUUUAUAUCUCUUUUUCAAUCUGUGCUUGGGUUCUAAUGACCUUUGUUGUUUCCAGGUAAUUUUCUUCACUGAUCCUGUUGAUGAGUACCUGAUGCAAUACCUUAUGGAUUAUGAGGGAAAGCAGUUCCAAAAUGUAUCCAAGGAGGGCCUGAAAAUCGGGAAAGAAAAGAACAAAGAACUCAAGGAGUCAUUUAAGGAACUAACUAAAUGGUGGAAGAACGCACUUGCUAGUGAUAAUGUUGAUGAAGUGAAAAUAAGCAACCGUUUGGACAACACUCCUUGUGUGGUCGUUACAUCAAAAUACGGAUGGAGUGCUAAUAUGGAGAGAAUCAUGCAAUCUCAAACCCUAUCUGAUUCUAGCAAGCAAGCUUACAUGCGUGGCAAGAGGAUCCUAGAGAUUAACCCAAGACACCCUAUCAUCAAGGAGCUUCGUGAGAGAGUUGCCAAGGACUCUGAGGUACCUAUCUAUAUAUGUAAACAGCAGCAUGCAUGUUUGUUGAGUCGGUAUUCAGUUUUAUUUCAUUUGAUGAAAUCAUUUGGUGGAUCUUACAGGAUGAGGGUGUGAAGCAAACGGCUCUGCUUAUUUACCAGACAGCUCUAAUGGAGAGUGGUUUCAAUCUACCCAAUCCCAAGGACUUUGCUUCACGCAUCUACAGCUCAGUGAAAUCUAGCCUUAAUAUCAGUCCUGAUGCAACAAUUGAAGACGAUGAUGAUGUAGAAGAAACCGAGAUAGAGUCGGAGACAAAAGAAAGUGCAGGCAAAGAUGAGUUGUAGAUUGCCUGAAACCUCGGGGAUAUAUUGCCUGAAACCUCGGGGAUAUAUACUCUUUGAGUUUGUUUUACCCUCUGUAGACAUUCACGAUUGAACUGAAACAUGCAUUUUCAAGUCUGAAACUAGGAUAAAAAGAAAAUUUACGUAGUUCUUUCAUUUCGGGUGUUGAGAAGUCUCAUCGAUUUUGUCUGUGGAAUGUGUUUUUGUUGACAGUAUAUACUGGUUUGCAUGAUUAGCUUGUUUGGAAGGUAUAUUAUGGUGGCUUCUUUUUAAUUUUGAUGACGAUGAUCUGUUUUAGAAGUAAAAGAACAUUCGGUUCUACAUUUAAGAGCACUGUUCUAGGGAUGCCUAGUGCAUUAGGAGUUUCAUUAAUGAUCUUUGAUAUACGUUUGGAGAUCCACUUUGAUUUCGAGUACAUCAUACAAGGCAGUCUUUUCCGUCCCAAGAACUUGUAACACUUUACCUGGCUAAUGGGGGUUUUAGUGAUACUAUACUUCGAUAGUCUGUAGUUGUCUAACAUAUUGUCCUUUCUCAACCAACUUUUCACGACCUCCUUGAACACUCCGAUCAUGGUAGCGCAAGUUCUGUCUAUAUCAUGCCUAUUGGGUACCCAUGUAUCAUGCACUAAAACUCAAAUAGCAAAUGCUUGUCCUCAUUCCAGUGAUAAAGAGGAAGAAAAAACUUGAUUGUAUUGUGUUUUGUUAUCUUUUGAGAGCUUUUAUUACCUCUCUUGCAUCACUCAUCCAAAUGCAUGAAUGGUCAUGGCGGUCAAUAUUUGGAUAAUUGCAUGUUUUCUUUUGUUUUUCUGUGUACAUUUAAAAUCUGCGUUGAAAAUACGGAAUCAAGUAAUUUCUCACUUCUGAUUAAUGGAUUUUCACUGAGCCCAACCAUUCGAACUCCUUGAUGCCUUAUUCUGUAACGAGCUUCAUGCUAUCGUAUUUUUUCUUGCUCGCAACAAAACCCAAAAAUACAUUGAAAACUGAUUCAGACCGUAGUCUUUGGUUCAGUUUUAUUUAAUUUGGUUCGGUUGGUCAAAAUUCACAAAUUAAAAAAUUGUAAUUAUACAAGCUAAAGCGAAUCUUAUUUUUAAUUAAGUUUUUUACCUUGUAAGUGCGAUUGUAUUUAUUACAGGAUCAAUAAAUUCAAUUCAGACAGAUUUAAAUUAUAAAUACAUAGAUACAUACCUAUUGAUAGUUUUGAGGAUGUAAUAAUUUUUUAUUUAAGUAAAAUAUCAUAGAAACAAAUAUUUCCGAUAAUAGUUCAGGGACAUCCUAUGCUAAAGUCAAAUUAUAUUUUACUUUUUUUAUUUAAAAAAGUUUCUAUACAUUAGAUUUAAAAAUUAUCUAUUUUUACUAUUAAAAAUUAGUCUUUAUACUUCAAUAUGAGUUAUAUGUGAUAUGUCACAUGAUGUUGUAUGGAUAUUCUCCCAUCCAUCUUAGAUUUUAAUAUUAUAAUUAAAUGAAUUUUUAAUAAAAAUAGGGGUAGCUAAAGGGUUGGUAGGGGCCCCGAUCCCUUAAAAUAAAAAAAAUUCAUUUAAAUCUUUUAAAAUUUUAAAUUAAUAAAGAUAAAGAUUGCACUGUGACUCUCUUAUAAAUAAAAAUUCGAUUUAAUUCUUUAAAAAUAAAAAAGAUAUACUAUUAAAAUUAUAAAAUUAUAUUUUUACUAUAAUAAAAAUUAUAAUUUAAUUUUAAUUUCUAAAAAAAUUUUCACUUCACCCUAAAUAUAAGAAAUCAAUUUACUUUUUAACUUAUUAUAUAAAAACUAUUUUAAAGAUACAUUUAUUUAAUGUAUAGAAAUUGAUUUACAGAAGAGAUAGAUCCACAUGGAAAGGAGAAGGAAAACACACAGAACUGUAAGGCAAGGAUAGUAAUAAAGAACAAUCUAGAAAUCGUGAUUCAUACACCUCCAAGCAUAUUACGCGACGUUUACAGCAAAACCGAGUCGUUCGAUCGUUUGAUGAUCAUCAGGUCAAGUUGACUAAAGAGUUGAAGUCGUCCGAUAUGGGGCCUGCCUGCCCAUAACACACGGCCACGUCAAAGAAACAAAUCCAAACCAAUAAAAUCAUGCCACGUCUCAACAAACCAAAUCAUUAGCCGUUAGAUCCUCCACGCUGGCGCCAAAAACCAAUUAACAUAAUCUUUUCCAUCGCAAAAAACAUUGCUAAACUCCCCCCCACCUAUUUAAGAACUCCCAAGCCUGCACUGAAGGCAAAGCUACUAUAUUUCAAAAAAAAAAAAAAACAAAAAAAAACAAACAAAGGUAGCCUAAGCAAACUAUGAGGAAGUGGGCGAUCCCUUCCGCUUUGGUUCUUCUUUGCCUUCUCAGUCUCCUAUCAGAUCAUGGUAAGCUUACGCCACUUUUCCUUUUUAUUGUUUUUUUUUAUUUCUUGAUUGUGAAAUGCUGAAUCCAGAUCUACACUUGUUUCAGGGAGAAAAGUACAAGCAAAUGCCGAGGAAGGAGCUGUAGAUCCUCCUAAAGUCGAGGAAAAGAUCGGCGCUGUGCCUAAUGGCUUACAAACUGAUUCUGAUGUAGUUAAAAGGUUAGCAUAAUUUUUGUUUUGGAAUAUACUUUUCAUUACUUUGUUCUUUUUUGUUUACUUGAAUUUUGAAUCCGAAUGUUCUUACUAGGGAAUCGGAAUCCAUCUCUUCGAGAUCGCUUCGCAAUAAUGCGGAGAAGUUUGAGUUCCAAGCUGAAGUGUCUCGGCUUAUGGAUAUCAUUAUCAAUUCUCUUUAUAGCAACAAGGAUAUUUUCCUCAGGGAGUUGAUCUCCAAUGCUUCUGAUGUAAGUUUUAUGUCUUUCCUUUUUUGAAUUGUUUUUAGUAAUUUUUUGGAACUCGAUGUUGAAUCAUUGUUUUUAUUCUAAUUUAAGGCACUGGACAAGAUUAGGUUCCUUUCACUCACAGACAAAGAAGUUUUGGGUGAAGGCGACACUUCCAAGCUGGAUAUCCAGGUCAGUUCUUCAAACUAAAACUUUAUCUUAUUGAAAUUUAAUUACAGAGAACUCUGGUUACCACUUAAUUAGAAUGAGCCUGCUCUAUAAUGUCGUUGCUGAGCCUUAAAAAUGCAAUGAAAUUGCAGAUUAAGUUGGACAAAGAGAAGAAGAUUCUUUCCCUUCGUGACAGAGGUAUAGGAAUGACAAAAGAAGAUUUAAUCAAGAACUUGGGAACAAUUGCGAAAUCUGGAACUUCUGGUAACUAAAUCUUUAUAUUUGAUAUUGCAGAAGUAGAGUUAUGUUUCAUUAAGUAUAGAUUACAUAAACUGAAGUUAUUAUUAUUAUCUUUUUUGUGCAGCAUUCGUUGAGAAAAUGCAAUCCAGUGGAGACCUUAAUCUGAUUGGGCAGUUUGGAGUUGGGUUCUACUCUGUAUAUCUUGUAGCUGACUAUGUCGAAGUCAUUAGUAAACACAAUGAUGACAAACAGUGAGUCUUCUAGCUUCAAUGUAGUUCUUAUGGUAAUGUUUGACUGAUUGUUGAACUAUUAUUUGGUUAAUAUGUUUUACUCUUUAGGUAUGUAUGGGAAUCGAAGGCGGAUGGGGCAUUUGCAAUUUCCGAGGAUACUUGGAAUGAACCACUUGGACGUGGGACUGAGAUUAGAUUGCAUCUUAGGGAUGAAGCUCAGGAGUAUUUGGAGGAAAGCAAAUUGAAGGUUAGCAACUUGAAUUUUGCAUGUUUACAUAGCCUAUUCUUUGGGUAUGCUGAUUUUCAUUUGUGAAAUAUUUUCUAUUAUGGUACCAUCCUUUGAAAUGUUAUUUCCGUGAACUUGUAAUUUGAUGUAUUGACUUAAACUUGGCCUUUUGAAGAUAUGCUAACAAAGCAUGCUGUGUUUCUCAUCUGCAGGAGUUGGUGAAGAAAUAUUCUGAGUUCAUCAACUUCCCCAUCUAUAUCUGGGCAAGCAAAGAGGUUGAUGUUGAGGUGCCUGCAGAUGAAGAUGAGUCAAGUGAUGAGGAGGAAACCUGUAUGUAUUAGCUAGCCUGUUAAUGUUUAUUUAAAACUUGUCUUUUUCCUUAAUGCUGUAAGAGUAGGCAUGUUUUGAUUAACUGAUUAUAGUUUUUGGUUUCCUUCUCUUUUAUUUUCACAAACAGCCGAUAGCGGCUCUUCCGAGGAAGGAGAAGAUGAAGAUGCUGAGAAAAGUGAGGAUGAUGAUGCUGAAAAGAAAUCAAAGACAAAGAAGGUGAAGGAAACUACUUAUGAAUGGGAACUUCUGAAUGAUGUUAAAGCCAUAUGGUUGCGCAGUCCAAAGGAGGUGACAGAUGAAGAAUACACGAAAUUCUAUCACUCUCUAGCUAAGGUAAUUUUCCAUAUAUUUUCUAGCUCCAUACUACCGAAAGCAUUAUAGAGAAGUUUCUAUCACUUAUAGAUGCAUAUUUCUGCUUCUCUGCAGGACUUUAGUGAUGAGAAGCCCUUGGCCUGGAGCCACUUCACUGCUGAAGGUGAUGUCGAGUUCAAGGCCGUUUUGUUUGUGCCUUCUAAGGCUCCUCAGGAUCUAUAUGAGAGUUACUAUAACACCAAUAAAGCCAACUUGAAGUUGUAUGUUCGACGAGUUUUUAUCUCUGAAGAAUUUGAUGAGCUUUUGCCAAAGUAUCUUAGCUUCUUGAAGGUAAUAGAAGACAUUCCAAGUUAUUUUAGUUGACUUGAAUCUUCACUAAUGAGUUUUCUGAGUUGUUUUUUAUUGUUUACCUGUUGAGCAGGGUCUUGUUGAUUCUGAUACUCUGCCUCUCAAUGUGUCACGAGAGAUGCUGCAAGCCCACAGCAGUUUGAAAACAAUCAAGAAAAAACUCAUCAGGAAAGCCCUUGAUAUGAUUCGUAAAAUUGCCGAGGAGGAUCCUGAUGAGUCGAGUGGCAAAGAUGAGAAAGGUAUUGUAUAUUGAUUUCGUGUAGAAUUAAAUUUAAUUUGCUAGUACUUCACCGCCUAGACUUGGCCUACCACUAGCCUUUGACAAUGAAACUAUUCUAUUCCAACUUAUUUCUGGGUGAAUAUUGAUACUGAAUAUGAUGGGGAUGCAGAAGUGGAAACAUCUGGUGAUGAUGAUGAGAAAAAGGGACAAUACACCAAGUUCUGGAAUGAAUUUGGAAAAUCCAUUAAACUCGGCAUCAUUGAGGAUGCAACCAAUAGAAAUCGCUUGGCAAAACUCCUUCGAUUUGAGAGGUAUUUAACUUUGUAUAUGGUAUUUAGGCAUGAGCAUUGUAUUGGUAAAAUCAAGAAACCGAACUGAACUGAUUAAUUUGAUUGGUUUAAAAGCGUCAAAUUUCAGUUGUGUGUAAAACCAAACAGCAUUAUUUGGAUUAGUUUGGAUCCUGAAACUUAAAAACAAGUAUUUGGCCUUGAUUUGUUUUUCCUUUUAGUCGAGUCCAAACAGAAGCAUUCUUUGCACAUGAUAAUCACUUUUCUGCUAGUAACUAAUGAGUAAUGGUGUAUGAAUUGCAUUGCAGCACCAAGUCGGAUGGUAAAUUGACAUCACUUGAUCAGUACAUCUCAAGGAUGAAAUCCGGACAGAAAGAUAUAUUCUACAUUACAGGAACCAGCAAGGAACAAUUAGAAAAAUCUCCAUUCUUGGAGAGGCUUAAGAAGAAAAAUUAUGAGGUAACUGCUGAAGCAUUCCGAACCAACUUUUCUCAUCUGCCCUUUUACUUAAUUUAUAUCUCUUUUUCAAUCUGUGCUUGGGUUCUAAUGACCUUUGUUGUUUCCAGGUAAUUUUCUUCACUGAUCCUGUUGAUGAGUACCUGAUGCAAUACCUUAUGGAUUAUGAGGGAAAGCAGUUCCAAAAUGUAUCCAAGGAGGGCCUGAAAAUCGGGAAAGAAAAGAACAAAGAACUCAAGGAGUCAUUUAAGGAACUAACUAAAUGGUGGAAGAAUGCACUUGCUAGUGAUAAUGUUGAUGAAGUGAAGAUAAGCAACCGUUUGGACAACACUCCUUGUGUGGUUGUUACAUCAAAAUACGGAUGGAGUGCUAAUAUGGAGAAAAUCAUGCAGUCUCAAACCCUAUCUGAUUCUAGCAAGCAAGCUUACAUGCGCGGCAAGAGGAUCCUAGAGAUUAACCCAAGACACCCAAUCAUCAAGGAGCUUCGUGAGAGAGUUGCCAAGGACUCUGAGGUACCUAUCUAUAUAUGUAAACAGUAACAUGCAUGUUUGAUGAGUCGGUAUUCAGUUUUGCUUCAUUUGAUGAAAUCAUUUGGUGGAUCUUACAGGAUGAGGGUGUGAAGCAAACGGCUCAGCUUAUUUACCAGACGGCUCUAAUGGAGAGUGGUUUCAAUCUACCCGAUCCCAAGGAUUUUGCUUCACGCAUCUACAGCUCGGUGAAAUCUAGCCUAAAUAUUAGUCCCGAUGCAACAAUUGAGGAUGAUGAUGAUGAUGUAGAAGAAACCGAGACAGAAUCGGACACAAAAGACAGUGCAGUCAAAGAUGAGUUGUAGAUUGCCUGAAACCUCGGGGACAUGCCUUUUGAGUUAGUUUUACCCUCUGAUGACAAGCCGAAGGAACUGUAACAUGCAUUUUCAAGUCUGAAACUUGGAUAAAGGGAAACAUUACAAACAUUACUUAGUAGAAUAUAUGUAAACCGUAGUCGACUGUGAAA
rnacentral:lncRNA from 1 species